rnacentral:rRNA from 1 species
GAGUAAUGCGUGACCAACCUGCCCCAUGCUCCAGAAUAGCUCUUGGAAACGGGUGGUAAUGCUGGAUGCUCCAACUUGACGCAUGUCUUGUUGGGAAAGUGUUUAGUGGCAUGGGAUGGGGUCGCGUCCUAUCAGCUUGUAGGCGGGGUAAUGGCCCACCUAGGCUUCGACGGGUAGCCGGCCUGAGAGGGCGGACGGCCACAUUGGGACUGAGAUACGGCCAGACUCCUACGGGAGGCAGCAGUG